rnacentral:lncRNA from 1 species
GACUUGAGCAUCAGAGGAUCUCCACCGGAGCAACCUCUGGCUCAGACUUCUCUGUAGGUCACACCCUCGAGAGACCCAUCUCGCCUUCCACUCCAGCAUCCCGACACCAUAUGAAAUCUUGCAUAAUAGAUUCGCUUUAGAAGGACUCAUCCCCAUUCGAAGGAGCACAGAUCGAGAGCAGUACAACCAUGCCAUCCAAAAGAGCUUCAUCCCGUCAUACCAACACCACCACUCCACGAUCGGUGGAGAGCCAGGUUAACAACCAGGUGCAACCAUCAUUAGUACAAACUCCUCCAUCUCCUCUGCCUACAGUAGUGAUGGCGAAUCAAUUCCAUCUGCUCUUUUAGCAAGUUUAAAAUUUGACGAUCAUUGUUUAGGUGAUCCGGGCC